rnacentral:rRNA from 1 species
UACAGAGGUCUCAAGCGUUGUUCGGAUUCAUUGGGCGUAAAGGGUGCGUAGGCGGCGAAGCAAGUCUGAUGUGAAAUCCCGGGGCUCAACCCCGGAACUGCAUUGGAUACUGCUUUGCUAGAGUACUGGAGAGGAGACUGGAAUUUACGGUGUAGCAGUGAAAUGCGUAGAUAUCGUAAGGAAGACCAGUGGCGAAGGCGGUUCUCUGGGCCUUACCUGACGCUGAGGAGCGAAAGCGUGGGUAGCGAACAGG